rnacentral:rRNA from 1 species
GUGGGGAAUAUUGGACAAUGGGCGAAAGCCUGAUCCAGCCAUGCCGCGUGUGUGAAGAAGGUCUUCGGAUUGUAAAGCACUUUAAGUUGGGAGGAAGGGCAGUAAGUUAAUACCUUGCUGUUUUGACGUUACCGACAGAAUAAGCACCGGCUAACUUCGUGCCAGCAGUCGCGGUAAUACGAAGGGUGCAAGCGUUAAUCGGAAUUACUGGGCGUAAAGCGCGCGUAGGUGGUUUUGUAAGUUGGAGGUGAAAUCCCCGGGCUCAACCUGGGAACUGCCUCCAAAACUGCAUGACUAGAGUACGGUAGAGGGUAGUGGAAUUUCCUGUGUAGCGGUGAAAUGCGUAGAUAUAGGAAGGAACACCAGUGGCGAAGGCGACUACCUGGACUGAUACUGACACUGAGGUGCGAAAGCGUGGGGAGCAAACAGGAUUAGAAACCCUUGUAGUCC